AGUUCUAUACUUUAAAAAAAAGACCUGAUUUGCAAUCAACUAUUGAGACCAUAACUCUAGAACCA
rnacentral:tRNA from 1 species